rnacentral:misc_RNA from 1 species
AAUGCAGCUCGAAAUAUGAACCUCUCAUCGUUAGCCCUAAGCCUUGUGCUUCCAAUUCCAGUACAAUGAACAGAAUUACCAUAUGCAGAAUGUUGUGUAGGGGCAUUGGCCUUUCCAACUGCAACAGAUUGGUUUAUGCGAACAGGAUGACUGAUAUCUUCAAGAACACAUAGGUCAGUGCCGUCAUCAACAUUGGAUUUGCUACCAGACAA